AUUGAACGCUGGCGGCAUGCUUUACACAUGCAAGUCGAACGGCAGCGCGGGCUUCGGCCUGGCGGCGAGUGGCGAACGGGUGAGUAAUGCAUCGGAACGUGCCCAGUAGUGGGGGAUAGCCCGGCGAAAGCCGGAUUAAUACCGCAUACGACCUGAGGGUGAAAGCGGGGGACCGAAAGGCCUCGCGCUAUUGGAGCGGCCGAUGUCGGAUUAGCUAGUUGGUGGGGUAAAGGCUUACCAAGGCGACGAUCCGUAGCUGGUCUGAGAGGACGACCAGCCACAGGGGGAAUGAGCGACGGCGCAGCCGCCAGGGGGAGGAGGAGGGGCGGUAUGGCAGCGCGGGGGGGCAGUGGGGAGCGCGCCAUGGCGGGGGAGGGAGGGGGGUCUGCGGGGUGUAACACGCGGGGGGUGGGGAAGAACUCCUGGGGGCAGAGACCGGGGGGGGAUGACGGUAGCUGAAGAAGAAGCACCGGAGAACGUCGUGCCAGCAGCCGCGGUAAUCGUCGAAGCGCACCCGUCUGAAC
rnacentral:rRNA from 1 species